rnacentral:rRNA from 1 species
GAUGAACGCUAGCGGCAGGCUUAAUACAUGCAAGUCGAGGGACAGCACAGGUAGCAAUACUGGGUGGUAACCGGCAAACGGGUGCGGAACACGUACACAACCUUCCUUUAAGUGGGGGAUAGCCCAGAGAAAUUUGGAUUAAUACCCCGUAAUAUAGUUGAAUGGCAUCAUUUGAUUAUUAUAGCUACGGCGCUUAAUGAUGGGUGUGCGGCUGAUUAGGUAGUUGGCGGGGUAACGGCCCACCAAGUCUACGAUCAGUAGCUGAUGUGAGAGCAUGAUCAGCCACACGGGCACUGAGACACGGGCCCGACUCCUACGGGAGGCAGCAGUAAGGAAUAUUGGUCAAUGGACGCAAGUCUGAACCAGCCAUGCCGCGUGAAGGAUUAAGGUCCUCUGGAUUGUAAACUUCUUUUAUUUGGGACGAAAAAGGGUCUUUCUAGGUCAACUGACGGUACCAGAUGAAUAAGCACCGGCUAACUCCGUGCCAGCCGCCGCAGUAACAC